CUCUCUCUCUCUCUCUCUCUCUCUCUCUCUCUCUCUCUCUCUCUCUCUCAAGCCCUAGCCUUCGAAUUUCUGAGGCAAUCUCUCUGUGCUCAGACCUCCUCUCUCACGCGAAAUCUUGAAAUCAUGAAACCGUGUCUCUCUAUUCAAGCUUCGGCCGUUGUCUCUCUGUCUCGCUGAGAUGUUUGUCUCGCCGGCGACCUCUCGGUGAUGGGGGGGCAAGGAACAGAGAAGAUGCGAAGUGGAAGAAGACAAAAGUGGAUCUGUCGAGUUAGGAAGAUGAGGGUUGGACUGUUAAAUGGUGACUCGAAAAGCAGUGAUGGAGAUUUUUGCAGGCUCACUUUCAAUAGAUUACUUGAAGUUGCUACUUGGUGUGAGAUUAAAUCAUUGAUAGAAGACCACGCUAAUGAUGUUGUAGUUCAUAUUUUGUAUUUUGUAAUGUAAUGUGUAAAUAACAAAAUAAUGUAAUAUUUAGUUGGCUU